UACGGGGGAUGCAAGCGUUAUCCGAAAUCAUUGGGCGUAAAGCGCCUGUAGGUUGUUUAUUAAGUCUGUUGUUAAAGCCUAGGGCUUAACCCUAGAACAGCAAUGGAAACUAGUAGACUAGAGUAUGGUAGGGGUAGAGGGAAUUUCUAGUGUAGCGGUGAAAUGCGUAGAUAUUAGAAAGAACACCAGUGGCGAAAGCGCUCUACUGGGCCAUUACUGACACUCAGAGGCGAAAGCUAGGGUAGCAAAAGGGAUUAGAUACCCCUGUAGUCCUAGCCGUAAACGAUGGAUACUAGAUGUUGUGCUUAUAGUACAGUGUCCUAGCUAACGCGUUAAGUAUCCCGCCUGGGGAGUACGCUCGCAAGGGUG
rnacentral:rRNA from 1 species